rnacentral:rRNA from 1 species
GCAGUCGAACGCGUAAAGCUCCUUCGGGGGUGAGUAGAGUGGCGGACGGGUGAGUAACACGAUAGGAAUCUGCCCUAAAGUGGGGGACAACCGCGCGAAAGCGUGGCUAAUACCGCAUAAUCUCUAAGGAGAAAAGCAGGGGACCUUUCGGGGCCUUGCGCUUUAGGAUGAGCCUGCGUCGGAUUAGCUUGUUGGUGGGGUAAAAGCCUACCAAGGCAACGAUCCGUAGCUGGUUUGAGAGGAUGAUCAGCCACACUGGGACUGAGACACGGCCCAGACUCCUACGGGAGGCAGCAGUGGGGAAUAUUGGACAAUGGGGGAAACCCUGAUCCAGCAAUGCCGCGUGUAUGAAGAAGGCCUUCGGGUUGUAAAGCACUUUCAGUGGGGAGGAAAGAAUCAAAGUUAAUAUCUUUGAGAGUUGACGUUACCCACAGAAGAAGGACCGGCUAACUCUGUGCCAGCAGCCGCGGUAAUACAGAGGGUCCAAGCGUUAAUCGGAGUUACUGGGCGUAAAGAGUACGUAGGCGGAUUAUCAAGUCGGAUGUGAAAGCCCCGGGCUUAACCUGGGAACUGCAUUCGAUACUGUUAGUCUGGAGUAUGGUAGAGGAAAGUGGAAUUCCCGGUGUAGCGGUGAAAUGCGUANAUAUCGGGAAGAACAUCAAUGGCGAAGGCAGCUUUUCUGGACCAAUACUGACGCUGAGGUACGAAAGCGUGGGGAGCAAACAGGAUUAGAGACCCUGGUAGUCCACGCCGUAA